rnacentral:lncRNA from 1 species
AUGAAAAAAUCCCUUAAAAGCCACAAAAGGGUGGGAGCAGUGGAUGCAGGGAGGAGGGGAGUGAGCUGGGGUUGGGAUGGAGGGGGGCUAAAAUCCUGUCCCACUCCUUUGCCAUGGGCAGGGAAUCUCCUGCAGGUCUGGUCUGGCACUGCCAGGGGUGGGGUUUGGGAAGGAUGGGAGGGUUUGGGAAGGAUGGGAAGGUUUGGGAAGGAUGGGAGGGUUUGGGAAGGUUUGGGAAGGAUGGGAAGCUGCUGCUCCUGGCUGCUUUGGCUGGUUCUGGGGUGGAGCUGGUGCCCAGGGAUGUGCAGCAGCCCUGCAGGGCCCUGGGGAUGCAGCAGCUGCAGGAAUUUGGGUGUGGAGGGCACAGAGGGACCCCAGGGACGGGGCAGUUCUGCAGCUGCAGGGCUGGAGCUCAGCCUGGCAUGGAAAAAGGUUCAGGGCAGAGGGGAGCUGGUGCCAGCUGGGGUUUGUGUGCGGGGUGGGACGAGGGGACAGGACCCCGUGGCAAGGUCCCAGGCUGGCAUGGGAGCCACCAGUGUCCCGGCCACCAGCCAGGGAGGUGGCAGUGCCAUGGGGAGGGGACACUGGGCACCCCCAGGUGUUUUUGGGGCUGCUUGGGUUUGGACACGGGUUUGGGCCAGGUCCGUGGACACCUGGGUGGGAAUUCUGCUUUUCCCUGCCUGGCUGCAGUCCUGUGCACCCCCUGCAGUCCUGUGCACCCCCUGCAGUCCUGUGCAGCCCCUGCAGUCCUGUGCAGCUCCUGCAGUCCUGUGCAGCCCCUGCAGCCCCAGCUCUGCAGCCUGGCCUGUUCUUUCUCUGUGCAUCGUUCUUCUGGUUCCAGUUCUAGCUGCACUCGUAGAGUUGCCUUCCUUUGACCGAAUGUUGGAAUGUGAAAUAUUGUAUAUUUUAAAGUAUUUACCCUAUUUAUAUACUGUAUGUUACUGUUAAAUAAAUAUAAAUUCCAUUACCUGUGGGGAGUUUCAUUCAGUGCUCUGGCUGCUGCCAUUCCCUCGUUCCCUGGGCUCUCCUUCCCGAGGGAUUUCCUGGAGGAGCCAAGGACACAUCCUGAGGGGUCCCACGUUCCCCGUGGGGUUUGAGGUGACCCCACAAGCCCAGGCUGCCCCUGUGGGUGCUGGCCCUGCUCCCCUGCAAUCCCAGCACGAUUCAUCCACCUGCAGAUUUCACUGGGAGUGGGAAAAUCCCCGGGAGCUCCUCUUGCCCCGAGUCCCUCCUUCAUCCCAGCCCUCGCCGGGGUCAGCAGGGCAGAACC